rnacentral:rRNA from 1 species
UACGUAGGGUGCGAGCGUUGUCCGGAAUUAUUGGGCGUAAAGGGCUCGUAGGCGGUUUGUCGCGUCUGCUGUGAAAACCCGAGGCUCAACCUCGGGCCUGCAGUGGGUACGGGCAGACUAGAGUGCGGUAGGGGAGAUUGGAAUACCUGGUGUAGCGGUGGAAUGCGCAGAUAUCAGGAGGAACACCAAUGGCGAAGGCAGAUCUCUGGGCCGUAACUGACGCUGAGGAGCGAAAGCAUGGGGAGCGAACAGG